CAGCCGCCGCGGUAAUACGAAGGGUGCAAGCGUUAAUCGGAAUUACUGGGCGUAAAGCGUGCGUAGGCGGUGAGUUAAGUCUGCUGUGAAAUCCCCGGGCUCAACCUGGGAAUGGCAGUGGAUACUGGCUCGCUAGAGUGUGUCAGAGGAUGGUGGAAUUCCCGGUGUAGCAGUGAAAUGCGUAGAGAUCGGAAGGAACAUCUGUGGCGAGGGCGACUAUCUGGGCCAACACUGACACUGAGGCACGAAAGCGUGGGGAGCAAACAGGAUUAGAUACCCCCGUAGUCCCUGUCUCUUAUCC
rnacentral:rRNA from 1 species